GAGGCUGCCUCGUGACGUUUGCCGACGACCUCGUGAGGGAGAAGGAUCGCAAGACUGCUUCCUGACCUUAAAGACGCAUGCCAUGUCACCGUGGAAUGAGUACUUGGUCAUGGGACCUUUGUGGGGCCGCUCUACAACGUGCAGACAGUGAUACGCUGUAAUGACGGUGCGACGACUCCAGUGGGCAGUUGACAUUCUCGGAAAGGAUCAUUCUUGGGCCACUCAUCAACUUGCAAGAAUAUCCGGGGUGACGGCGCAGGCACCGACGGGCCAUCUACGUGAUUGAAAGGAUGUUUGCUGGGCCACUCUACAACGUGCAGGUACAUCUGCCCUGUAAUGACGGUGACGCCGACAGUGGGGCUAGUGGACGUUCUCGGAGGUGUUCUUUGCAUUGAUAUUUGUGUGUUAUUGUGGGCCGCUCUACAACGUGCAGGGAAAGACAUGAUGUCGACGACGGCGCAGACACCCGCUCACAGUUUUUGGAGAGGUUCGUUGCACUUGCAUUUGUGGCGAGCUUCUAAUCUGAGAGGUUGUCGCUUUCUGCAGUCAUCCUGGGUAAAAAAAAGUGAAUGCUUUUGUGAAAAAGUGCAGUAAAGGCCACCCAAUAGUUUGGGCACGGAUCAGCCACCACUUUCUGAAGGAGGCAAUUUAGUGCCAAUUUCGUUGUUUUUGCCCACCGCGAUGUGAGCACUGCUCAGUCAAACGGGCCGAAUCGCAUGAAUGCAACCGAACAUUUAUCUCUCAACCGUCAGGUUGCAGGAGUUUUGAUCUGCUGCGUCAUACCCCUUACUGUAGAACGUUACUUAGCGUGAAACGACUUCAUAAGGGGUAAAUGAUCAUGCAGUAAAUAUAUGAUCCCUCAUGCAG